UGCACCGCCAACAGGCGGCAAGGCUGGAGUAUUUUAUUACCCUUGUCUUUUGCGCACUUGUUGUUUCCUGGGCGGGUUCGCCCGCCUCCAGGACCACAUGAUAAACCUUUUUUAUGCAGUUGCAAUCAGCGUCAGUACAACAAAUGUAAAUCAUUUACAACUUUCAACAACGGAUCUCUUGGUUCUGGCAUCGAUGAAGAACGCAGCGAAAUGCGAUACGUAGUGUGAAUUGCAGAAUUCAGUGAAUCAUCGAAUCUUUGAACGCACAUUGCGCCCUUUGGUAUUCCAAAGGGCAUGCCUGUUCGAGCGUCAUUUGUACCCUCAAGCUUUGCUUGGUGUUGGGCGUUUUUUGUCUUUGGUUUUGUCCAAAGACUCGCCUUAAAACGAUUGGCAGCCGGCCUACUGGUUUCGCAGCGCAGCACAUUUUUGCGCUUGCAAUCAGCAAAAGAGGACGGCACUCCAUCAAGACUCUAUAUCACUUUUGACCUCGGAUCAGGUAGGGAUACCCGCUGAACUUAAGCAUAUCAAAACCCGGAAGGAAAA
rnacentral:rRNA from 1 species